CAGAGGUGCGAGCGUUAAUCGGAUUACUGGGCGUAAAGCGUGCGUAGGCGGCUUUAAGUCGGAUGUGAAAUCCCCGAGCUUAACUUGGGAAUUGCAUUCGAUACUGGGAAGCUAGAGUAUGGGAGAGGAUGGUAGAAUUCCAGGUGUAGCGGUGAAAUGCAUAGAGAUCUGGAGGAAUACCGAUGGCGAAGGCAGCCAUCUGGCCUAAUACUGACGCUGAGGUACGAAGCAUGGGAGCAAACAGGAUU
rnacentral:rRNA from 1 species